CUGAUGACAGAGGCAGUACGACCUCUGAAAUGUUGGACAUCUACCUUACUACACGGCGCAACAACCCAGAAUAUAGCAAUCUUCAGAAAAAUAUUCAUUUGGGUUCCUCUGUCCUGAGUACCUUUCAUUUGCUAAAAAAGGGAAAGUUGUUAACACCAUGAAGAUGUGUAUAGUGGAGGUAGGUAUAGCUCCACUCUUUCUUGACCUCAGCACUAAAGGUGACUGGUCACAUUCACAGCCCAGCUGCUUUUCUCCUGAGGUAUGUGCCCCAGCACCCAUUGGACAGGAAGCUGGGUGGGCACCAGAGUCAGACAAGCAGGACAAUUUUCUAAACAAUGGCCAUUUACUUAGACCUCUUUAUAUUAAACGUUGGAAUACAUAAAAAUAUACUUCACCUGUAAGCAAAGCUUGGAAAGAUUUGUAGUUGGUUUUAUGUGUAAAGGUACUUCCAGACGAAUAAACUGUGGUGCUUCA